AAAAUUUCCGUGAGAUUAAUAUACAUACAUAAAGGUCUCUUUCGAGUUAAACCUUUACUUAGUGCAAGUAUCUCAAAGCCCUAUCAAAGUGACAAGUAGCUCGGCUUUAAACUUGUACUUUUAUAUAAUAGAACCGGACAUACCACACAUAUACUAACCUCUUGUUUCAACGAGAAGUUCUAUAUUACUCCGCACUAUUAUGGCCUUGUGCUUGAUCCUGUUUCAUGAGCUCUCUAGAAAGCAACCCUAACUUUCGUAAGAAGCGGCACCACUUCUAAGCUCAUAUAGGUGAAGUAUCUACCAUGUGUUUCUGUUACUAUCAACACAUUACAAAUUUAUAUCAUACUUCAUUAAGAAUUCAAUUCAACCUACAAAACGUAACAGACAAUAUUGACUUCUCAUAUCAGGGCUACGUCAAUAUCAAACAAUCACAUUCAAUAACUUGUUCUUACCCAUUAAACCUUGUAACUAGUGAUGUUCUAGAAAAAGGUCGGGUUACCAUUAUUGGUGAUUUCAAUUAAAGGGUUUCAGCCCCGUUUCUUAUGAGGUCAUUAUUACCAUGUCUCUCGGUAAAGACUUCGUCAAAGGAUCGGCAAGAUAAUUACUUAACCUCAC
rnacentral:lncRNA from 1 species